AAACUUUCAACAAAGGAUCUCUUGGCUCUCGCAUCGAUGAAGAACGCAGCGAAGCGCGAAAUGUAGUGUGAAUCGCAGAACAUUGUGAAUCAUCGAAUCUUUGGACGCACAUUGCGCCUCCUGUAACAGGGAGGCAUGCCUGUCUGAGUCUCAUUU
rnacentral:rRNA from 1 species